AUAACAAUACCGGGCGCAUUAGUGUCUGGUAAUUGGAAUGAGUACAAUCUAAAUCCCUUAACGAGGAUCCAUUGGAGACCAAGUCUGGUGCCAGUAGCCAAGGUAAUUCCAGCUCCAA
rnacentral:rRNA from 16 species